UGAAAUUUGACUCCAAACUAACCAUGAAGAACCAUGUUGUAAAUCUUGCAAACAAAGCAGCCAGGAAGCUUACAGCACUUCGCCGUAUCUCGCAUCUGCUUGACAGUAGGGGUUGCAAGAUUCUGUACGAGGCACAAGUACGCUCACACCUUGAGUAUGUUCCACUUUCUUGGUUUGCCUGCCCCCCCCCCCUCUCAUCUGCGACUGCUUGACAGAGUAGAGAACAGAGCAAGACGUCUCAUCUCUCGCCUGGACCCAUCCUGGAUAGAUCUGUCACUUCAGCAGAGCCUUCAACACAGGAGGGAUGUGGGUGGCCUUACUGUUAUGUACAAGGCCAAUAUUGUCAAAGUACCACACUUGGAUCCACUUCGAGGACAGCGUGAAACAAGCUUUUAUGCCAUAAGACGGGCAGAAAGCAGCAACUUCACUCUGGCUGUACCCUUCUCCAGAACAUCACUCCAUCUGAGAUCCUAUAUACCCAGGAUGACUCAUGUAUGGAACACAUUCGUACAGCAUAAUGAUGUCAACGAGAUAGUUGAUCAAAUGAAAAUGCUGGUCCACAGAUGGCUCCAACUUCAUCCUGUUCCCUACUUGUAUGUCUCAUAACAAUAAAAAUGCUUUCAAAUGAGCUGAUGUAGGUAACAACUUUAGCUUGCCAAUAAAGUUAGGAAUCCUUAACCUGUAAACAGCUUGUCAAUAAAGCUAGGGAUCCUUAACCUUGUCAGACCCUGUGUAAAAAAAAAACUAAACUUUAUGAACUUUUAAUGUAUUUUAAAGAGCAGUAAAUGUUUUGAGACGGUCUGAUCCUUGAUUGUAUGGAGUUUUACUUAUUUGAAGUUAAUCAAGAGUUUUCAUUUCACAUUAUACAUAAUUUAGCUUAUGACGUAGGUAGAUGUUCAGCAGUGUGUGUGUGGGGGGAGGUCGUGUGUUUGACGCAGUGUGUGUAGAGGGGUCGUGUGUUUGACGCAGUGUGUGUAGAGGGGUCGUGUGUUUGACGCAUUUUGUGUAGAGGGGUCGUGUGUUUGACGCAGUGUGUGUAGGGGGGUUGUGUGUGUGACGCAGUGUAUGUGUGGGAUGAUUGUGUGUGUGACGCAGUGUGUGUGUUGAAGGAUUGUGUGACGCAGUGUGUGUAGGGGGUUGUGUGUGUGACGCAGUGUGUGGGGGGCUGUGUGUGUGACGCAGUGUGUGUGUUGGAGGAUUGUGUGUGUGAUGCAGUGUGUGUGUGGCGGGGUUGUGUGUU